rnacentral:sRNA from 2 species
AUAUCUCUCUGUACGGGAAGGAUGAGAAGCUUCGACUAAGGUUCGAUUCGAGCGCAGCGAGAAAGCGUUGCCGCAGGCA